rnacentral:rRNA from 1 species
CCUACGGGAGGCAGCAGUGAGGAAUAUUGGUCAAUGGGCGUAAGCCUGAACCAGCCAAGUCGCGUGAGGGAUGAAGGUUCUAUGGAUCGUAAACCUCUUUUAUAAGGGAAUAAAGUGCGGGACGUGUCCUGUUUUGUAGGUACCUUAUGAAUAAGGAUCGGCUAACUCCGUGCCAGCAGCCGCGGUAAUACGGAGGAUCCGAGCGUUAUCCGGAUUUAUUGGGUUUAAAGGGUGCGUAGGCGGCCUGUUAAGUCAGCGGUGAAAUUCUGUGGCUCAACCAUAGAAUUGCGGUUGAAACUGGGAGGCUUGAGUGUGUUUAAGGCAGGCGGAAUGCGUGGUGUAGCGGUGAAAUGCUUAGAUAUCACGCAGAACCCCGAUUGCGAAGGCAGCCUACCGAGCCAUGACUGACGCUGAUGCACGAAAGCGUGGGGAUCAAACAGGAUUAGAUACCCCUGUAGUC